CUGACGGCCGCGUUCGGGUCAAUUGCGGAAUGCAACACCCGAUCUCCCUCUACACGCCAUCGGAUAUGAUGGUGAAAGAGGGGGAGCGCGUCGCCAUCAG
rfam:Halogeometricum borinquense DSM 11551, complete genome.